UUCUUCGAAUCCAUUCACAUAAUCACCCGCGAGUGAGCAUACCGCUCCCCAAGAAAUCGAAAAGAAUCCAGCAGGUGGCGCCCUCCGCCUCUUCGCCUCCCGUCCGGCUGUCCCCGCCAAAUCCCUCGGCGGAGAUUCUUUUGGAACCCUAGCGGUUGACCUCCAGGAGAGAGCCAUGGCUUCUCUGUCUCCACUUCUUGGAAGCGCGGGUUUCGCUUCCGGUCCACUUAUCUGGUCUCCACGAUGGAGAAACCAUGACCUUGGAUUUGAGAUCUCUUACCAUGAGAAUUCCAUCCGCAAGGAGGCGCCGUUGGUCAUGGAGUUCUUUCUAUGAGUUAAAUCGACCCGUCGCAAUGAGGCCAACUUUAACGAUGGGAGAGCUUGGUCCAAGGUAUGAUUAAAACAAAGGACAUCAUGUACUCACCGACAAGGGAGUGGUCUUAUCAUGCUCAAGUGCCAUCACUGGUUUCUUGUUGAAAUUCAUCGAAACAUCCUGCAAUGUUGGUUGGAAAACUUGUAUGGCAGAGCUGCACCAUGCACGCGAAAGGAGAUCCAUUGAUUCUGAAGUUGCUUCGGGGGCCAUUUGGCUCAUGUCUAAAUCCAUGUUGAUGGUGAAAUCAGUGAUGUCUAGGGUGCUAUUUUGGUUGUGAGAUAUGACACAAAUGGCAGUGCUGCAAGUUCUGUGUAGAAAUAUAUACUUGGAUGAAGAGGGUCUACAUGGCACUGAAGGUUGUGUGUUGUCAGGAGUACUUUUCUAGGAACUGGGUUCUCCACUAGACAAAUCAGUUGCACCCCAGGAGAAGGGUGUAAUAAAUUAAUACCCUGUGAAGAGUUGGGCAUGUAUUUGAUAUAAGUAAUUAUUUUUCUGAUGAGAUGUGACAGGCAGGAGGGAUGAUUACCUCCACCCAUGCUUUGAGUAUUCAUAAAGAAGGAUGGAAUCAAUGGGGACCUCAUGGCCUAGAGAAAGCACAACACAAAGCACUAUAUUUUUAUUGGUAGAAUGUCUAGAACAAUUGAGGCACAGCACAUGCCAACCAUGUAACUACUUGUAUAAGAUAUUUAUCAGAAGGGCUUUGCUCGCUUGCCAACGAAGGUUAAAGGUGCUGUUGGAUGCUGUGGAAUUUUCUUGCAUCAUAACCAAACGUGCGGUAGAGCCUCUAUGGAGGAAUGGAGAGGCAUCUUGUAUCAUUGAAGCCAACAGUUCUUUAAAAGUAGGAUAUUGAGAUGCCGGCAGGUUGCAGACUUUCUAAGGCCUUAUGAGUGCUAGGUCGGGGCCGGCCUAUGCCAAGACUUUAAUCAUAGCUUCUCUAAUGGGAAGGUUCGAGAAUUCCCCACCUUUUGUUUAUGUGAUCAAAAUUUAUUAGGAGUUGGUAAGGGAAAUUUCACUUUGAUUGGUUGCAACUGGCCUUA